AGAGUUUGAUCCUGGCUCAGGAUGAACGCCGGCGGUGUGCCUAAUACAUGCAAGUCGAACGCGUUGGCCCAACUGAUUGAUUGUGCUUGCACAGGAUUGACGUUGGUUUCCCAACGAGUGGCGGACGGGUGAGUAACACGUAGGCAACCUGCCCCGAAGCGGGGGACAACAUUUGGAAACAAGUGCUAAUACCGCAUAACAACUUUGACCGCCUGGUCAAAGCUUAAAAGAUGGUUUCGGCUAUCACUUCGGGAUGGGCCUGCGGCGCAUUAGCUUGUUGGUGGGGUAACGGCCUACAAAGGCGAUGAUGCGUAGCCGAGUUGAGAGACUGAUCGGCCACAAUGGGACUGAGACACGGCCCAUACUCCUACGGGAGGCAGCAGUAGGGAAUCUUCCACAAUGGGCGCAAGCCUGAUGGAGCAACACCGCGUGAGUGAAGAAGGGUUUCGGCUCGUAAAGCUCUGUUGUUGAAGAAGAAUGUGCAAGAGAGUAACUGUUCUUGUAUUGACGGUAUUCAACCAGAAAGUCACGGCUAACUACGUGCCAGCAGCCGCGGU
rnacentral:rRNA from 1 species